rnacentral:rRNA from 1 species
GAGAAGAAAAGUAAGUAAGAGCGCAGGGUGGAUGCCUUGGCUCUCGGAGGCGAUGAAGGACGUGAUAAGCUGCGAUAAGCUACGGGGAGGUGCAAAUGACCUUUGAUCCGUAGAUUUCCGAAUGGGGCAACCCAAUGCCGUGAAGCGGCAUUACUUUCCUAAUGGAAGGUGCGAACGCAGGGAACUGAAACAUCUAAGUACCUGUAGGAGAAGAAAACAAAAGUGAUUCCCUAAGUAGUGGCGAGCGAACGGGGAACAGCCCAAACCAACAGUGUUUCGGCAUUGUUGGGGUUGUAGGACCACGACAUAUGAUUGUAAAAGGAACAGGAAUCGUAAUGGAACUUUGUACCAUAGAGGGUGAUAGUCCCGUACUGGUAAUGUUUACAAUUGUUAGUGGUAUCCUGAGUUGCGCGGGACACGAGAAAUCCUGUGUGAAACUGCCGGGACAAUCCGGUAAGGCUAAUUACUCCCGAGAGACCGAUAGCGAACAAGUACUGUGAAGGAAAGGUGAAAAGCACCUCGAACAGAGGAGUGAAAAAGAACCUGAAACCGUGCGCUUACAAGCGGUUGGAGCAUCAUUUAUGGUGUGACAGCGUGCCUAUUGCAUAAUGAACCUACGAGUUACUUUCACCGGCAAGGUUAAGCCCUUCAGGGGCGAAGCCGAAGCGAAAGCGAGUCUGAAUAGGGCGCAUUAGUCGGUGGGAGUAGACGCGAAACCAAGUGAUCUACCUAUGAGCAGGUUGAAGUUCCGGUAACACGGAAUGGAGGACCGAACCGGUAAGCGUUGAAAAGCUUUCGGAUGACUUGUGGGUAGGGGUGAAAGGCUAAUCAAACUUGGAGAUAGCUCGUACUCCCCGAAAUGCCUUUAGGGGCAGCGUUAAUAUAGUUUACAUGAGGUAGAGCGACUGAUUGGAUGCGAGGGUUUCACCGCCUAUCAAGUCCUGAUAAACUCCGAAUGCAUGUAAAUGGUUAUUGGCAGUGAGGGCAUGGGUGCUAAGGUCCAUGUCCGAAAGGAGAAGAAUCCAGACCAUCAGCUAAGGUCCCCAAAUUAAUGCUAAGUUGAACUAACGAAGUCAGACUGCAGAGACAGCUAGGAUGUUGGCUUGGAAGCAGCCAUUCAUUUAAAGAGUGCGUAACAGCUCACUAGUCGAGCGGUCAGGCAUGGAUAAUAAUCGGGCAUAAGCAUUAUACCGAAGCUAUGGAUUCAAUAAGAAUGGUAGGGGAGCAUUCCUGUACAGCGUCGAAGGUUCUUCGUAAGGAGGAUUGGAGCGGCAGGAAAAGCAGAUGUAGGUAUGAGUAACGAUAAGGGAGGCGAGAAACCUCCCCGCCGAAAGACUGAGGGUUCCUGAUCAACGCUAAUCGGAUCAGGGUCUGUCGGGACCUAAGGCAUACCCCUUGAGGGGGGAAGUCGAUGGAAGAACCGGUUAAUAUUCCGGUACUACCUUAUAGAGUGAAGUGGGGACGAAGAAGUGAAAGUCCGGCCAACUGACGGAAUAGUUGGUUAAAGGGUGUAGAUAUUGAGAGGUGUAGGCAAAUCCGCACUUUGAGUCGAACCUGACAGUACAGAGAGCCCUCGGGUGAUCUGAUAAGGACCUAAUCAGGCUUCCAAGAAAAUCCGCUAGCGUUAAUCUAUGAGGUACCCGUACUCUAAACGGACACACGUGGUCAAGUAGAAAAUACUGAGGCGCUCGAGUGAUUCACAGCUAAGGAACUAGGCAAAAUAGCCCCGUAACUUCGGGAGAAGGGGCGCCAGCAGCAAUGUUGGCCGCAGAAAAUUGGCCCAGGCGACUGUUUAACAAAAACAAAGGGCUUUGCAAAAUCGAAAGAUGAAGUAUAAGGCCUGACACCUGCCCGGUGCUGGAAGGUUAAGAGGAGAAGUCAUCGCAAGAGAAGCUUUGAAUUGAAGCCCCAGUAAACGGCGGCCGUAACUAUAACGGUCCUAAGGUAGCGAAAUUCCUUGUCGGGUAAGUUCCGACCUGCACGAAUGGUGUAACGAUCUGGGCACUGUCUCAGCUGUGAGCUCGGUGAAAUUGUAGUAUCGGUGAAGAUGCCGAUUACCCGCAACGGGACGGAAAGACCCCGUGAACCUUUACUGCAACUUUACAUUGAAUUUGGGUACUUAAUGUGUAGGAUAGGCCGGAGACUGUGAAGCAGGCGCGCUAGCGCAGGUGGAGUCAACCUUGAAAUACGGCCCUUUAAUUAUUUGAAUUCUAACUUCCGGAUGGAAGGACACUGUAUGGUGGGUAGUUUGACUGGGGUGGUCGCCUCCAAAAGAGUAACGGAGGCUCCCAAAGGUGCGCUCAUGGCGAUUGGUAACCGCCAGCAGAGUGUAAUGGUAUAAGCGCGCUUGACUGAGAGACCGACAAGUCGAUCAGGUAGGAAACUAGGGCAUAGUGAUCCGGUGGUUCCGCAUGGAAGGGCCAUCGCUCAAAGGAUAAAAGGUACUCCGGGGAUAACAGGCUGAUCAUUCCCAAGAGCUCAAAUCGACGGAAUGGUUUGGCACCUCGAUGUCGGCUCGUCACAUCCCGGGGCUGGAGAAGGUCCCAAGGGUUGGGCUGUUCGCCCAUUAAAGUGGCACGCGAGCUGGGUUCAGAACGUCGUGAGACAGUUCGGUCCCUAUCUGUUGUGGGCGUAAGAAAUUUGAGAAGAUCUGACACUAGUACGAGAGGACCGUGUUGGACGAACCUACGGUUUACCGGUUGUUCCGCCAGGGGCACCGCCGGGUAUCCGCGUUCGGGCAGGAUAAGCGCUGAAAGCAUCUAAGCGCGAAACCAACUUCAAGAUGAGAUUUCUUCUAAGGGCCGUUGAAGACGACAACGUUGAUAGGCUGUAGGUGUAAAGGCAGUAAUGUCAAAGCCGAGCAGUACUAAUCGCCCGAAACUUUUCU